AGGACGAACGCUGGCGGCGUGCUUAACACAUGCAAGUGGAGCGACGAACCAGGGCUUGCCCUGGGGCAGAGCCGCGAACGGGUGAGUAACACGUGGGUUACCUGCCUCGAUGACCGGGACAACCCGAAGAAAACUCGGGCUAAUACCGGAUGUGCCCGCAAGGGGAAAGGAAGCUUCGGCCUCCGCAUCGAGAUGGGCCCGCGGCCCAUUAGCUUGUUGGUGAGGUAAUGGCUCACCAAGGCUUCGAUGGGUAGCUGGUCUGAGAGGACGAUCAGCCACACUGGGACUGAGACACGGCCCAGACUCCUACGGGAGGCAGCAGUGGGGAAUCUUGCGCAAUGCGCGAAAGCGUGACGCAGCAACGCCGCGUGGGGGAAGAAGGCUUUCGGGUUGUAACCCCUUUCAGUUGGGACGAAGCUUCGGCGGUUAAUAGCUGUCUGGAGUGACGGUACCUUCACAAGAAGCACCGGCUAACUACGCGCCAGCAGCCGCGGU
rnacentral:rRNA from 1 species